rnacentral:rRNA from 1 species
UCCUACGGGGCGCAGCAGUAGGGAAUCUUCCACAAUGGACGAAAGUCUGAUGGAGCAACGCCGCGUGAAUGAUGAAGGUCUUCGGAUUGUAAAGUUCUUUUCUAAGGGAAGAAGAAAGUGACGGUACCUUAGGAAUAAGCCUCGGCUAACUACGUGCCAGCAGCCGCGGUAAUACGUAGGAGGCAGGCGUUAUCCGGAAUGACUGGGCGUAAAGGGUGCGUAGGUGGUUUGACAAGUUGGUAGCGUAACUCCGGGGCUCAACCUCGGCACUACUACCAAAACUGUUGGACUUGAGUGCAGGAGGG